GGCUUACAAAUUUUGUCCCAAAACAAUAUGUUGACAUUUAUAAAAUAUAAGUAUGACAUCUGCUGUAUGUAUGGAAGUCAUUCUGCCUCAAGGGCAAAGUAUUUAUUUUUACAUUUACACAGCAAGAUUAAACUAUAUUAUUAUUUAAAUCUGUAUAUGAGAAAAUGCUUUUUGAAUGGUCUAGACUUUAUAUGUACACAAACUAAAAACGAUUACUUUGCUUGUUUCUAAAUGUCAAAUGCAUUAAGUAGCUGUUACUAAAAUCUAUUCAACAUUUUUCUCAACAACUCUAUAAACUUGCUAUUUUUUACUGGGAUAGAUUUCAUGUUUUUUUUGUUGUUGUCACAAUCAGCCAGUUUAAAGGUCUAUCUUAUGUUACAAUUCUCAAUUGGACACUAUUUUGAAAUGUUAUCUUCAAAUCAUCCCAUUGAUUUUUUUAUAAUCUGAUCCAAUGGCUUUUUGUCCCACAAAUUCAUUUUAUUUGAAAGGAACGAUGUUGUUUACAGGAAGUUGUUAUAAGCUUUUUUCUUUAGUAAAAUUCCAAUUUAAAAAAAAAUCUCAGAUGGAUUUCAUAUUUUACAAUGAAGAGUUUCAGCAUUUUCUAGAACAAAAAUAAAUAUUUGACCUAUUAAGUGUUCUCUCUAGACUCUUCAGCUUGAAACCAUUUAUCCAAAAACAGUACUAUGUACUCUCAAAUGUGUUUUACCUAUGGAUAUGUUUUGUCUUGUUAAAUUUAGAUGUUAUUGAGUGACUGAGAUAAUAGGUGGGUGAAGUAAGUACUCAUUUAACAUGCAAGAAUGUAAUAUUUAUAUUAAUUUCCAAAGUUAAGUGGUUGUGGCUGUUUCUAACAUUGUUUAAGUAUUCAUGCCAGACUGUUGGUAAUAUCUGUUGAAUUCAUCUACAACUAGUUUGUAUGAAAGAGGACUGUUUGUUCAUCUCUGAUUUUUAUUUUUUAUUUUGGGUUGCUGCCUGGAUGAAUGAAUCACAUUCCAUUUUUUGAUAAUUCAAAUAAUAUUGGAUCCUCUAACCUCAACAGAAAGGAGACAAUACAUAUAACAAUUAUAUUGAAGACAACUAAACUUUGUAUCUUCCACGUUUGUAAACAAUGGUUUGCCAAGUAACUAUCAGUUUCAACCACUCUAGCUAAGUAAGGAAUCAUUUCCUAUCAAGUUUACACAAAUUUUGUAAGAAGUACUCUCUCUUAAGAAAAAUUUCAAUGUUCUGAAAUCUAGUUCAUCAGCAGUGUUAGCCUUUUGGAACUAGGUACGUAGUUAGAA
rnacentral:lncRNA from 1 species